CCUACGGGUGGCAGCAGUGAGGAAUAUUGGUCAAUGGACGAGAGUCUGAACCAGCCAAGUAGCGUGAAGGAUGACUGCCCUAUGGGUUGUAAACUUCUUUUAUAAAGGAAUAAAACGAGGCACGUGUGCCUUUUUGCAUUUACUUUAUGAAUAAGGAUCGGCUAACUCCGUGCCAGCAGCCGCGGUAAUACGGAGGAUCCGAGUGUUAUCCGGAUUUAUUUGGUUUAAAGGGAGCGUAGAUGGGUUGUUAAGUAAGUUGUGAAAGUUUGCGGCUCAACCGUAAAAUUGCAAUUGAUCCUGGCAGUCUUGAGUACAGUUGAGGUAGGCGGAAUUCGUGGUGUAGCGGUGAAAUGCUUAGAGAUCACGAAGAACCCCGAUUGCGAAGGCAGCUUACUAAACUGUGACUGACAUUGAUGCUCGAAAGUGUGGGUAUCAAACAGGAUUAGAUACCCCAGUAGUC
rnacentral:rRNA from 1 species